GCCUCCGAAAGGGCGAUAAGAAGUUUUCUGCUUUCUGAGGGUCUUGGGGGACUGUCUGAUUUGUUAGUAGGCCACCAACAGACCCUUGGAGUGGCCGAGGCCCUGGCAGUCUUGUCCCGGACGUGGAUAAGAGGCCUGACAGGUUCCAUUCUGGGCUUGCAGUGUUUCCAUGAGCCAGGAGGCCUCAGGGAUCUGUGACUGCUUGUGGGGUCGCAGGCGGCCACAUCCUGGUGGUCUGCCCUUCUGCUUUUGAACUGUCUGUGUGGCCUGUGCCUGGUUGUCUGGAGUGUGCUCUCUGCUUUUAUGGAUUUGACAACUGGAUGCGAGAAUCGAACCAAAGCUCACUGUGUCCAGCUGGUUGGCAGAGUGCUUCCCCAGCACAGAGAAACUGGCUUUAUUGGUAUACACCUGGGAUUCAAACAGUCAGGAGCUGGAGGCAAAGGACCAGAAGCUCAGGUAUAGGGAGUUCAGGGUCAGCCUAGGGCACGUGAGAUCCUGCCAAAAGCAAAAACCAAACUCAAUGUGUUGAACUAUAUUCAACUGAAGAUUGGAUAGUGCAGUAGAUGACAGAGAUGUUAAGAACAGGUAAUGAAGCCUGGCGGUGGUGGCGCACGCCUUUAAUCCCAGCACUUGGGAGGCAGAGCCAGGCAGAUUUCUGAGUUCGAGGCCAGCCUGGUCUACAGAGUGAGUUCCAGGACGGCCAGGGCUACACAGAGAAAUCCUGUCUUGAAACAAAACAAAACAAAACAAACAAACAAAAAAGAACAGGUAAUGAAGGAUUGGGCUCUUGUCUCAAUUGUUAAGCUAUGAUGGUAUUCUUAAAAAUACCCAACUUCUGUAAAGUGCCCUAAUUAUGAAAAUUUCUUAUAAACAGUGAAGUAAUCCUGGUUUUGCUGUGAUAAUUGACUAUAGAUUUGUUGAAAUUUGUAUCAAAGUAUAGAAAAACUGCCAAUGAACUUCAAUGAAAAUUUUUGUGUACUAUUACAAUAGAAUGCUGUUAAUUCACAUUGCUUACAUUAAAGAAUAUUUUCAACUUUAAAUCUUUUAAAUAAAUGAUUCUGAAGUCC